rnacentral:rRNA from 1 species
AACGAACGCUGGCGGCAGGCUUAACACAUGCAAGUCGAACGCGUGUAGCAAUACACGAGUGGCGCACGGGUGAGUAACGCGUGGAUAUCUGCCUUUUGGUUCGGAAUAACCCCGGGAAACUGGGGCUAAUACCGGAUGGUUCCUUCGGGAUAAAGAUUUAUCGCCAAAAGAUGAGUCCGCGUACGAUUAGCUAGUUGGUGUGGUAACGGCUCACCAAGGCGACGAUCGUUAGCUGGUCUGAGAGGACGAUCAGCCACACUGGGACUGAGACACGGCCCAGACUCCUACGGGAGGCAGCAGUGGGGAAUAUUGGACAAUGGGGGCAACCCUGAUCCAGCCAUGCCGCGUGAGUGAUGAAGGCCUUCGGGUUGUAAAGCUCUUUUGGCGGGGACGAUGAUGACGGUACCCGCAGAAUAAGCCCCGGCUAACUUCGUGCCAGCAGCCGCAGUAAAAC